AUCUUCUGUAUGUCGUCUAAAGAAACUAUCCCAUUUUGGCACUUCCAAGUUAGACUGCUGCCACCAUAAGAAGGA